rnacentral:misc_RNA from 1 species
UUUCCGUAGGUGAACCUGCGGAAGGAUCAUUAUUGUAUAAUCGGGCGUCUACUUCGGUCGGUCAUGCCAUCCACUUUCUAACCCCGUGCACUCACACGGCGGAACAGGUAAUUCGUAAUUUGUCUACUGCCGAGUGCGACUUCUUACUUUCUGCGGCUUACUUUAAACACUAGUCACAGUCUAUAACGACAUAUCGAAAUAUAUAUAAACUUUUAACAAUGGCUCUAUUGGCUCUCCCUUCGACAAAGAACGCAGCAGCUCUGACGACCACACAGAAGA